rnacentral:lncRNA from 1 species
GAUUGAACAGGUAUGGCCAGCACAGAAGGGAGCAAAAAGAGGGAAAAGAAAGCCAAGAAGAAACACACUGGACGUGAGUUUGGUUUUUUUUUCCUCCCCCGCUUCACCCAUGGCAUUCGGAAGUUCCUGGGUCAGGUAUCAAACCUUCACCACAGCAGUGACCCAAUCUGCAGACGUGACAACAGCUGCAUCCUUAACCGCCAGGCCAUCGGGGAACUCCUACUAUUAAUUAUAAACGAGACAUAAUUCACGAUUGAAUGAAUGAAUGAGAGCGGGAUUUGACCCCAUAAAAAUGCAGAACUCAUCUCUGUCGAAAACAAAGCCAAAAAUAAUGACCAAGAAGGGCAAUGUCACUUGGGUUUGGCAGAGACUCCCAGGCAGGCGGGGGAGGGGGGGCUUCUACCAGAGAAAAGGGAGGCUGGGGGUGGGGGUGGGGGUCCCCGAUGGCAGCUGUGGGCCCGAGGAAGCUGGGGCGGGCUCACCACAUGCUGGGCAUCCUGUGGGAUUGAUUUCAGGGCCAUAUUUGGCCCUCUCUGCUUGUCCUGAGUGAGAAGGAUGAGGGGCAAAAAUUAGGGAAGCUGGCCGGCUGCCGAGCCUUCUGGGGCAAUGGCUGCAGAGGCUGCGGGUUGGCUUCCAGAUGGUUUUCGCAGAGGUUGUGGGUCAGAGUUCUCUUGUCACAUGUAUGUGGUUCAGCCACGGUCCCUGUGUUUAGUCACUCUCUCGUGAUGCUUUAUCAAGUCAUCAAGUCGGUGUUGCUUGAUGGCUGCAUGUCUGGGUCCAGAUGCAUGUUUUCAAGCUGCCAUGGAAGGCAGGCUCUGAUGGUCAAAUGCUUGGGUGCUGAUCCAGCCCUUCCUGGUAUUUGCUGUGUGGCAUAGGACUAACUGCUACACCUCUCUGUGCCCAAAUUAAGCAGUAACUGUCAAUGAGCGUAAAACGCUUGGGACGGUGUCUGAGCCCUAGGGUGAGGUGAUAAUUUGUCACUGUCCUUCUCUGUAAUUACUGUACUAACAGGAGUCUUGCUCAUACUUAGCGUUAGUUUUCUAUCCAGAGGCCCCUGAAUGAUGCUGACACCUCUCAUUCCAAUACCGUGGUGUUUCAUUUCGCAAGAAUCCGGUCUCCCCACCGUCAUUCCCAUUUGAAAUCUGGAGGCAGAAGGAUCAAGUUUAUCCUUUCUUUUCUUUUCUCUCUUUGGCCACGUCCGCAUGCAGAGGUUCCCUGGGCCAGGGACAGAACCCCCGCCACAGCAGCCACCCGCACCGCUGCAGUCUCGGCGCCAGAUCCUUGCCCCGAUGAGUCAGGUCGGGAUUCCCAGUUUUAAAUUCAAGCAGUUUUGAAGUUUCGCUUGUGCUCGCUGCUUUUCCCAGAGUUGGCAGAAGCCCCGGGUUUGUCUUCAGCGUCUCGUGGUCCCUUCUUCCCGCGAGGCCGUCAUAGACAUGCACGUCUUCCUUCUUGCCUUUUGGAUUCCUUGGCUGGACUAAUAAUUACAUUGAUAUCAGACGGAUGCGCGGGAGGAAAUCAGGUUCAUUUCUUACAUGUAGGAGCCCCGGGGACGUGAGACCAAGAGCAAGCCUGGCAAUCGAGGGUCCGGGCCGGGGGCUCCCAGGCCUUGGGGAGCAGAGGCUAGUAACUGACGUGAGCCGUGCAGGGGAGUCUUUCCGAUAAAACUCUUAUUUCUGGUAGUGGUGCUCGUCUGGUGCAGGCCCCCAUCGCAGUUCUUUUGGGUCGUUAAGGAAGAGGUUUUCCUGAGUCGGCGGGUUCUCGGUGGCAGCAGACUCAGAAUAGUCCACGUGCCAAAGGGGCUUGUUCGACUCCCUCCCCACCCGGCUCCUCUGAGUCCCUGGCCGCUUAGCCCGUGGAGUUCCCCAUGCGGCGCAGUGGGUUAAGAAUCCAACUUCUGUGGCUCAGGUCGCCGUGGAGGUGCAGGUUCCAUCCCUGGUCUGGUGCAGGGGGUGAAAGGAUCCAGGCUUUGGUGUCUUCUUUUCCUGCUUUAGGCUUUUUACAGCGUGGAGCACCAACCUCUCUCUCGGGCUCAGAUUUGUCAUUUGACUGCCCUGCGCACCUGCUGAGACUCAGGCAAGUGAGGCUGGAACCUUCUCCCGUUCAACAGCACCCCUGCUGCCUGGGGCGCAGCCUGACACUCCUGCAGCACUUAAACUGCUGGCAAAAGAGCUGAAAUACCGUUUUCAAAUACGGAAAAGCUGGACGAAUAGAGCGUGAACGCCCUGGAGCCGACCAUUGCUAACAUACUGCCAUGUGUCCUUGCAAACCACGGGUGUAAACGUGUAUCUUUUCAUUGACAUCAUGACACUUCACCCCCACCAAACUCUUGGCAGUUAUCUCCUCAAAGUAAAGACACUGUGGGACUUCCUGUCGUGGUGCAGCGGAAACGAAUCCGACGAGGAACCAUGAGGACGCGGGUUCGAUCCCUGGCCUCGCUCAGCGGGUUAAGGAUCCAGCGUUGCUGUGAGUUGUGGUGUAGGUCACAGACACGGCCUGGAUCUGGCAUUGCUAUGGCUGUGGUGUAGGCCCCGGCAGCUGCUGCCCCAAUUAGACCACUGGCCUGGGAACCUCCAUAUGCCUCAGGUGCAUCCCCCCGCCCCAAAAAAAGGCUAAAUAAAUAAAUAUAAAAGUAAGGACAUUGUUCUCCAUCAUGUGCUGGCAAACUAUGCCCACUGGGCCUAAUCUGGGCCAUGAUCUGCUUUCGACAAUAAAGUUUUAUUG